GGUGCGCCGGGCCGCGCCGACCCUCCCGGGACGCGGCCGCAACACGUGGAGCGAACUUUUGAGGGACGCGUGUCUGCGCCGGACGGGAGCCCCGCCGACCGGGACCGCAACGCUGCACGGAGCAGCUCGUCUCUCUCCGGAGCAUUUCAACUGCUUUUCUUAAAGCUGAAUUCUUUAUAAAGGAGAAGUGACUAGAAACCCUGAGCUGAGGUCUGGCUUAACUUUGUAAGGCACACUGACACACUGAGGCUGCUCCACUUAAGGUAUGGUAUGAACCAGGAGCUGAUCCCGUGCCUGUGGAAUGAGUGUUCACAUGGAGUCAUCCUCUGGAGCUACUGCAGCUGCUGUGUAAGCAAGUCCUAAAGGACAAGCCCUGUCCCAGUGACAGUGUGACAGAGAAGACAGACAAUGGGCACAAGGAUGAAGGAUGGAUUCUGUUCAACCCACAGGGAACAAAGAAACCUGGGCUGCUCAAGGCCCCACAGACCUGUCCAGGAGUGUCCUUUGUGCCAGCUGAUUCCAGGAAUGUGACACUUUUGGAACUGUUUGUGUCAGGACUUCCUGCUUAGACACCUGUGAUUUCUGAGACUGCCUCAUCAUAGGAAACCCCAGAUCUGCUGCUCCUCUCCACAAGGACUUCUGUAUCCAGCAACUCUCGUGUCUUCUUUGGAUACUGAAACGAGAUGAAAGGGCUUGAAUGUUUCCUUGGCAAGAUGGGUGGAUGGAAUUGGUUUAAUCUGUUCUGAUUCUGACACCUACAAGUCCACUGACCCAAUCACCUCUUCUGUUGCAAAGCAACACUACUGUGGAAUAUUCUUUGUGAUGAAAGCAGGAGGAUCAGGAAUGGGGGUUUGUAACUUUUUUGGAUGAGUUUCUGUUACAAUUUUUAUCUUUAGUAUCAACACUUUAAAUAAGGAUAUUUAUAUGUUAAAAUAAACACAUUUUUUGCCCUGAAAUACUGGAAUACACCUCCCCAGCCUCUUCCGACCUCAGUUCUGCCACUGAAGAGAAGCCACCCAUGGAUUUUAAGGUCAGAAGGACAAGUCAGAACUUCUAAGAGAGGAUGUGCACAGAACAAAUCCUGUAGUUCAUCCUGCAGCCCAGACCCUAAUGAAUGGAUCUUUUUCUUAUGUGCUGUGGGAAUUCUGCCUAUAGAAAUGUCUGAGGAGCUGUUCCAGGGCUUUAUAACCUUGUAUCUUGUUCCUUGUGGCAAGCUGCAAGUUGCCUGCUUAUCCUGGCCUCUGUGGACAAAACCCUCCACGUGUGUGACUGCAGAGGGAAAUAGGAGAGCACUGUGGUUUGGUGCUGGUUUGUCAGAUCUGUUCCAAAGCAGCUCCCCCAGGUGCCUGUCAGAGGCUCACAUGCAGGAUCCCUUGUGCACAUCCUGCAUCCCUUGUGUCCUCUUCAGCACUUGAGGACAUUGUCAGCAGACCAAAGUGCAUUUCUUAGUGCCCACACCAAGUCACUGAGACUUCAAGAACAAAUCUGACUAGAUUGAAUUUUCUUUCUUUUUAAAGUUCAGUGCCACUUAACACCUCCAACUUAGCUUUGAAAAAGCAGAAAUACCUAAAAUAAAUGUGUUUUGAACAGUA